rnacentral:misc_RNA from 1 species
GUAUAACUAGAAUUUUCCAAAGGAAAAUUUGUGAUGUGCCAUUUCCGAACAUCCUCAGAUGGUAUUUGAGGUCCUAGGUGACUGGAUGAACAUGAUGGCUCCAUUGAUGCGCGAUAUUUAUGCAUUUCCUUCCUUUUAAAUUCAUCCAUCAUGUCCCUUUGAGUUCUGUAAAGGCGAUGAAGUUCCACCACCUGAUUCCUGAAUAUGGCUUCGUGUUCAAGCAUUCUCUGCUUUAGAAUGUCCUUAUCAUACCCUGGAUAUGCAUUAGUUGUAGU